rnacentral:lncRNA from 1 species
CUUCACUUUGCUUCAAGAGUUCUAGCCCCUAGAACUCGACUAGCCUCAUACCGAUUUAAGUUUCUUCAAGAACCAGACCUCACCCUCUUAGAAUCUGCUCUAAACUUCUAAUUCUCCUUCUUUAGGAUCCUUACAACCCUUGUUAGGAUCAAAUAAGGCUUUGUCUUAAAUCCCAAAGCCUUAUCCUAAAACUAAGAUAGGUUGUAAGAA